CAGGUCUCUUGAAUCUGUUCCACUUUAUGGACACUCAUUUCACGCUUUCUGUCUGCUUUUCUUCCAGGGCUCUCCCCUUGCCCUAGGCUCUGGCCGCUGCGCCCGGCGGGGUCAACUCCAUGGUUAGCAUGGAGCUGUAGGAGUCUAAAUUGGGGACACAGAUGUUGGGAACGUCGCCUUGCAGUGUUAACUUGGCUUUCAUGAAGCUUUUUGAUCUUCCACAAGAGGUAGGCUACGGGUGAAACCUCUUAAGCUAAUACUUCUAUGAAGAGAUGCUUUGGAUAGGGUAACAGCGGCGGAUAUUGGUGAGUUGUUUGACAAAAACCAUUCAACGCCGGAGACUGGCUCUCAUCCAGUGGAUGCAUUAAGUGGAUUGUCUGUCAGGGCUGUCUCUAGGUUUAAUUCCUGGCCUCUCUGUGCUUAGGGUAAACAAAACUUGGCCUUAAAUGAGGUCCUGUGAGAGGGGACCUCACCAUUGAAUGCUGGACAUUUCUUUGGGGCCUUAUGUUUUGUUUGCCUCUGAGGUACUCAGGGGCAUUUAGGUUUUUCCUCAUCAAUAAAUAAUUAUG
rnacentral:other from 1 species